rnacentral:lncRNA from 1 species
UUAAAAAUAUUUUUAAAAUUUUAUAAAGCAAAAUGUAGGUUGUUGAAAGUUGGGAAUAGAAGGUAAAAAAAUUAGUAUUUAUAUAAAGGUUUUCUAUAAUUUAGCUAAAAUAAAACGUGUAAUAUACCGAACUCCUAUAGUUAUGAAGUUUCGGUGGAUAUUAGUUUGGAGAGCUAUUUGAAAUAGUUCUGGUGACGUUCGAAGAGCAUUUGCGUGUUUUCGGUGCGAGUUGGGCGCAAAAACGGAA